rnacentral:rRNA from 1 species
AUUGAACGCUGGCGGCAGGCUUAACACAUGCAAGUCGAGCGGGGUGAUGGUGCUUGCACUAUCACUUAGCGGCGGACGGGUGAGUAAUGCUUAGGAAUCUGCCUAUUAGUGGGGGACAACAUCUCGAAAGGGAUGCUAAUACCGCAUACGUCCUACGGGAGAAAGCAGGGGAUCACUUGUGACCUUGCGCUAAUAGAUGAGCCCAAGUCGGAAUAGCUAGUUGGUGGGGUAAAGGCCUACCAAGGCGACGAUCUGUAGCGGGUCUGAGAGGAUGAUCCGCCACACUGGGACUGAGACACGGCCCAGACUCCUACGGGAGGCAGCAGUGGGGAAUAUUGGACAGUGGGGGGAACCCUGAUCCAGCCAUGCCGCGUGUGUGAAGAAGGCCUUAUGGUUGUAAAGCACUUUAAGCGAGGAGGAGGCUCUUUUGGUUAAUACCCAAGAUGAGUGGACGUUACUCGCAGAAUAAGCACCGGCUAACUCUGUGCCAGCCGCCGCAGUAA